rnacentral:sRNA from 1 species
AGGCCCUGACUCUCCUGAGGUCUGCUCGGGAGGUGUGGCCUGAAGGAGAUGUGUUUGGCUCUCAAGACAUUUUUCCAGAGGAAGAGAUCCAGUUGCUGAAACAAAUCCUCUCUGCUCCACUUCCCCGGCAGCAGGGCCCAGAGGAACGUGGGGCAGAGGAAGAAGAAGAGGAGGAGGAGGAGGAGGAAGAGGAGGAGUUGCAAGUGGUCCAGCUUUGCAUGUUCAACUGUCGUUCGAGCCUAUGUGCUGCUACUAAGGAGCUACCAGCAGAAUAGUGCUCACACUAACCAUUGCAUUGUGAAGAUGCUGCACCGGCUGGCCCAUGACCUCAAAAUGGAAGCCCUACUUUUUCAGCUGUCAGUCUUCUGCCUCUUCAAUCGUCUGCUUAGUGACCCUGCUGCUGGAGCCUACAAAGAGCUAGUGACUUUUGCCAAAUACAUCCUGGGCAAAUUUUUUGCACUGGCUGCAGUCAACCAAAAAGCCUUUGUGGAGCUGUUGUUCUGGAAGAACACAGCUGUGGUUCGAGAGAUGACUGAGGGCUACGGCUCCCUGGAUGACAGGUCUUCCAGUCGCAGAGCACCUACAUGGAGCCCCGAAGAAGAGGCUCAUCUUCGGGAGCUGUACCUCGCCAAUAAGGACGUGGAAGGGCAGGAUGUGGUGGAAGCCAUCUUGGCCCACCUGAAUACUGUUCCUCGAACACGCAAGCAGAUCAUCCACCAUCUGGUACAGAUGGGACUGGCUGACAGUGUCAAGGACUUCCAAAGGAAAGGAACCCAUAUUGUACUGUGGACGGGGGAUCAGGAGUUGGAGCUGCAGCGGCUUUUUGAGGAAUUCCGGGACUCAGAUGGUGAGUAAGCUGGAAACUCAGGGGACCUUUGAGAUGAAAGCCAAGCUAUCCAUUUAUUUUGGGGCUGCCUUUUAUUCCCAAGGAAAGAUUCUCCCAUCCCUUCUGUUCACUUACUAUAUUUGUAAGUGUCAUUUUUGGAUGAAUUGAGGUACCCUCUUUCCAGAUACCUCUGAUUUAUUUUACUCAUCUCUUUCCCUGUUGCCCUUGGGUAUUCACAUGCUUGCUUUUUAUAGAUGUCCUGGGUCAUAUCAUGAAGAAUAUCACAGCCAAACGCUCACGGGCCCGAAUAGUGGAUAAACUCUUGGCUCUGGGGCUGGUGGCUGAGCGGCGGGAGCUGUACAAGAAACGGCGGAAAAAGUUGGCAUCCUCCAUCUUGGUAACAAUCUGACCCUAGCUCUGCUGGCAUGGGCUCGCUUCCCUUGAAGUGCUCCUUAGGAGCAGUCCACCCGGAUUCUUCCUGCCUGAGGCUGUUCUGACCAGGUCCUUCCGAGAGAGCAGGCGCGGGGGGGUGCGGCGGUCAGGAACGAGGAGACUCCACUAAGUUCCUUGUGUUGCCUUCAUUUUCAUUCCCCCAACCCCCAAUGAAUUUUAGCCAAAUGGAGCGGAGUCCCUGAAAGAUUUUUGCCAGGAAGAUCUGGAAGAAGAGGAAAACCUGCCUGAGGAAGACAGCGAAGAGGAAGAAGAAGGGGGCUCAGAAGCAGAACAAGUCCAGGGUAGCUUAGUCCUUUCAAAUGAAAACCUUGGUCAAAGCCUGCAUCAGGAAGGCUUUUCUAUCCCGCUCCUAUGGCUCCAGAACUGCCUGAUCCGAGCAGCUGAUGAUCGGGAAGAGGAUGGCUGCUCCCAGGCCGUUCCAUUGGUGCCACUCACAGAGGAAAAUGAGGAAGCCAUGGAAAACGAACAGUUUCAGCAGCUGUUGCGCAAGCUAGGGGUUCGGCCCCCUGCCUCUGGGCAGGAAACCUUCUGGCGAAUUCCAGCCAAGCUGAGUCCUACCCAGCUCCGGAGGGUAGCAGCUUCUUUGAGUCAACCAGAGGAGGAACAGAAGCUGCAGCCAGAGCUACAGCCUAAAGUCCCUGGAGAGCAAGGCUCUGAUGAGGAGCACUGUAAAGAGCACCGAGCACAAGCCCUGAGGGCCCUCUUGCUAGCCCACAAGAAGAAAGCAGGCCUGGCAUCCCCAGAGGAGGAAGACGCUGUUGGUAAAGAGCCGCUGAAGGCAGCACCCAAGAAACGACAAUUGCUGGACAGCGACGAGGAACAGGAAGAAGAUGAGGGCAGGAACAGAGCACCAGAGUUGGGAGCUCCAGGAAUCCAAAAGAAGAAACGAUAUCAGAUUGAGGAUGAUGAGGAUGACUGAAGAGCUAAGAAGCCUAGGGGUAGAGAUAGACACGUUUUUAGAUGGUGCAUUCAAGUCAGAGUUGGAAGGGUCAUACAGGACCUGGAAGCUCCUCUUACUGGACAGAGCAGUAGAAUCCCAGGCUCUUCCACGGAUUUAGGCUGAGAAACUUCAGCAGCAGUAUUGGACUUCUCUGCUGUCAGUCUUUGUUUCUCCCAGUUUUUAUCGGUAUGCCCCAGCAGCUCUCUGGAGAUUUAGUUCUCUUCUUCUAGGAACCAUUUCUUUUGGUUAUUGGAGCUCCUUAGCAAAUAAGAGGAGUGAGUGAAAUAGAGAAAGCACCCUGGACCCCUUUUAUUGGUCUGUUCCUUUGGCUUUCUCUUGGAGGUGGGUCGCAGCACCAGAUGGGGAGCUUUAUGACAUGACAGGCGGGAGUUUUGUACCACUUUUAGAAGAUACCAGAUGCCUCUGUCCUCAUUUUCUUUCCUAUGAUCAUCCUCUAGAUACCAGAUAGAGGCCCAUUCCUGCAUUUGAGAUAGGGUUGGAAUAUAGUACUCUAGAUGAUGAAUGUGUUUGCUUUGUGUUUGGUAUUAAACAUGUAAGAUUAGAAGUU